AAUGAACGUUGGCGGCAGGCUUAACACAUGCAAGUCGAGCGCGUAGCAAUACGAGCGGCAGACGGGUGAGUAACGCGUGGGAAUCUACCGUACCCUACGGAAUAGCUCUGGGAAACUGGAGGUAAUACCGUAUACGCCCUAACGGGGAAAGAUUUAUCGGGGUGUGAUGAGCCCGCGUUGGAUUAGCUAGUUGGUGGGGUAAAGGCCUACCAAGGCGACGAUCCAUAGCUGGUCUGAGAGGAUGAUCAGCCACAUUGGGACUGAGACACGGCCCAAACUCCUACGGGAGGCAGCAGUGGGGAAUAUUGGACAAUGGGCGCAAGCCUGAUCCAGCCAUGCCGCGUGAGUGAUGAAGGUCUUAGGAUUGUAAAGCUCUUUCACCGAUGAAGAUAAUGACGGUAGUCGGAGAAGAAGCCCCGGCUAACUUCGUGCCAGCAGCAGCCGCAGUAA
rnacentral:rRNA from 1 species